AAAACAUCCUGAGUCCAAUAGUGUGGGGAGUGGGAUUCCAAUACACAGGAUGCGGAAAGAUCGGUGAGCCGAGACAUGUUGGCAGAGUAGAAAAGGGGAUUAAAAAAAAUGGGGAGAACAUUUUUAUUUAUGUCAGGCAAACGUUAUUAUUAUCCGGAUGGACAGUAUAAAAUUCCUGGUGUGUGGAAACCAUGUUUGAUCUCUCGCCAUUCGGCUUUUCUCAGGACGUGGAACCUAAUGGGUGAUCCAAAUAUACUCUAAAAGCCCUUUUCGAACGAAACAAUUAUAGAUGUAGAGUUUUACGUAUAAAGGUUUUUGGCUAUUUUCUCAGCGGGAUGAGGUUUCAUUAUGACUGCAUACAGUUGAAUAGAUCAUAUACGUAGCAGCAUCCGCUAUUGUCAAAUGCUGGAAAGCGUCCAUUAAAAAGUCAUAAAAGGGUAGGCAGGGUUUCCUUGUCUUGCUUCAUAUAGCCUCCUAUUGUGUUUUUUUUUUUUUUUUGGGGGGGGGCAUGUUUAUUUCAGGAAGGCAAAGUCACCUUUGAAGAAAUGCAGAUCUUUUCAAAAUCAAAGUCAUUGCAAACCGGGCAAGGUUUUCGGUAGCAAUCAAGCUUUCUUACAAGCCAGUCAUGAUUGUUGUUAAACCUGCCCCCCCCCUUUUUUUCCUUUUGUCUUUUUAAGUACUGCCAAAAAAGACAAAAAAAAAAUGUUCAUAGGCAACAGUCCCACUUGACUGAGAAUCCAGGCACCAUUGAGAGAGGGCAAGGCCCCAACAUGAAUUGCGGCGCACAGCAUCACAAUAACUGUCUGGCGUCUGUGUUUAAAGCAACAGCACAGAUGAUGUACGGCGGCGCGAGGAGGACAAAGCGAUGCCACGAAGUCCAUCGCAUCCCGUGGCCUUGGCACCAACCGUCGUCCGCUCACUGCUGAAAGUGAUAAGGCUCCCGGAAUGGCACGAUCGGCCUUAUCGCUCGCCGCCAAGAAGGAGGACAUCCGCUAUCACUGGACGCACUGGGCAGAGGAAAGACUCAGCCCCCUUAUCUCCCUUUGUAACUCCGCCUACUUCAGG